rnacentral:lncRNA from 1 species
CUCUGAUCAGCUUCUGCUCCAGGAAGUCCUGUGCCCCUGCACCUCGGCUCCCUAUGCCUCUUUGGGCCUAGCUUAUGCCUGCUGCUCCCGUGGAUUCUUUCUCUUUCUUGAUGGCCCUUUACUUAACUCUGUAAUUGCAUCUCCACCUCUGUAAGGCUCUGGGAGAAAAUGCUGCUCAGAACAGGAUGGUGCUGAGCAUCCCAAAAGCCCUCAUCCCUGGGGAGAUUGCCUCUGAAGAGCACAGAACAUUUCAAUCAAGGCCAGAGCGGGAGUAAGCCUGGAGUCGUCACCCGUCUUCCUUACUCUCUACUCAUUCGAAAACCAAGCGCAGUUCAUUCUAAAUCUGGAAUGCUUGUUGAAUCCAUCGCUACCAUGAUCUCCAUUCAGGACUGCGGAUUCUUUCCCAAGCCAUCCAUCCAAUUGACCAGUCCUGGGUACCAGGGGUUCUCGAGCUGAGAUAGACUGGGAAACAGCAGUUCUCACAUGCAUCACAACAACGCCAGGGAUCCAUUAACUUGCAGCCUGAUGCCUUUACUCCGAGUCUCUCAUUCAGAAAGUCUACGUAAGGCGUGAGAAUUUGGAUGUUCGGCGAGGACAAGAUGGUGUUGAUGCAUCUGAUACAUGAUGGGCCAUGGUGUGAGAACCUCUGCUCUAGAGUUCACCCCUACAUAAAUCCUGUCAGCCCUUGGUUAGCAAGCUCUAUUGUCUCUCCAUUACUUCCCAGCCACAGUCCUAUCUCCUGGCUGGGAUCUCUAGGGGUUUUACCAGCCUUCCUCUUCAGCAUCACACCAAGCUAUUGAUGAGCCUUCAAACAUGAUGGAGGCACACUGUACUCUUUAUGGCCCUUAAAUACUCUGGAUUUCAGACCCUGCCCAUUUUCCUCUGCUUGCAACUGAUUCCCUCUUGUUGCUUGUCAAAGUCUCACUUCUCUGCCAAGGCCCAAGCUAACGAUAACAUCCACUGGAAGGAUCCCAGUGUGUGAGAAUGACCAUCGUGGACUUUGGCAUCAGUGAGACUGGGAUUCCAGUUCACAGUCAAUUUAUGUGACUUGGAGGUAAACUCUCUGGUAAGCAGAAAUUAACCUCAGCUUCUUUGUUGUGAAAUAUGAAUAAUAAUAUUUAUAUUGCAAGAUUGUUGGUAGAGAGGAAAUGAUUCAUAAAGAAUACCCGCAGGUACUAGGUAUUCAAUAAACAAUAGCUAUGAUUUUCAUUA